rnacentral:lncRNA from 1 species
UGUCAUGAAGCAAUAUUAGUGAUUUUGCUUCGACAUCACAGCCUUAUUUAUGCUUGAGAUCGUAUCAAAGCAUAUGAUUGAUUGGUGGAUUUAUCAUCUCAAGAAAUAUGAAAUGGUGCUACAGUGGAGGUUCUAGAUUCAUUUAGAGCACCUGAGAUUCUGUAACACAUCCAAAGCAGUGUGCACGCAAAUGCCUUCGCAUUCAUUUCCUGCAACAUUGUGGUCCAGCUCAGCCAUACUCGUGGCCUCAUGUUUGACAGAACGCCGAACCGCAUAAAUCCUACGUGGUGCGUAUUAUAUGAAACAGUUUCAAUUUCAUGGUGUCAGGGUGAUAUAGAAAGAGCUAGUCAGUACCAAAUAUGGCAGUAAAUCAUUAUUUCAUUGGCUAGUGCAAUUGUUUACCUGCGUGAUUUGCAGACACAUGGUUGCUGUGUCGUGCACACCUGAAGCACAUAGUGUGUCUUAUUGAUGUCAUGCAUUUAGGAUCUUCUUGUUUCAUAUUUCUCUUUUUUUUUUCACAGAAAUGCAGGGGUGCAAAGCACUGUUUUACGAUAAACAUAUUGUUGGAAAGUGAAGUGCUUUGUUAAAGGACGUUUAUGUAGAAAUGUACUUCUUUUUUUAAAAUAAACUGUUUCCUGUCUGUACGUCGUUGAAUAGCCGCUUGUGAUGUGCCACAUUUUUGUGGCAGCUGUGUAGUGCCCUGCCCAGGGGUGGAUCAAGAGUAAUAAA